CCAUACUAUCUCAGUCAGCCUUGGAAGAUAACCGGGAUAGUAUUUGGGUGGGAGACCACCUGAGAAUCCCAGGUGUAGCAUUGC
rnacentral:rRNA from 1 species